AGGAUGAACGCUGGCGGCGUGCUUAACACAUGCAAGUCGAGCGAAGCGCUCCACCCGAAGAAGUGACCUGCUGCAGGGAAUGGACUCAAUCGGAGUGACUGAGCGGCGGACGGGUGAGUAACGCGUGGAGAACCUGCCCCGUACCGGGGGAUAACAGUUAGAAAUGACUGCUAAUACCGCAUGAGCGCACAGCAUCGCAUGGUGCAGUGUGAAAAACUCCGGUGGUACGGGAUGGCUCCGCGUUGGAUUAGCCAGUUGGCGGGGUAACGGCCCACCAAAGCGACGAUCCAUAGCCGGCCUGAGAGGGCGACCGGCCACAUUGGGACUGAGACACGGCCCAAACUCCUACGGGAGGCAGCAGUGGGGAAUAUUGCACAAUGGGGGAAACCCUGAUGCCAGCGACGCCGCGUGAACGAAGAAGUAUUUCGGUAUGUAAAGUUCUAUCAGCAGGGAAGAUGAUGACGGUACCUGACUAAGAAGCCCCGGCUAAAUACGUGCCAGCCGCAGC
rnacentral:rRNA from 1 species